rnacentral:lncRNA from 1 species
AGCUGAAUUCUCUCCCUGCUGCCUCUAUCCAUCUCUCUGUCCUGCUUCAACCCUUCCUUCCCCUAAUAGCCAACAGGUUUAUUUCUUCUUUUCAUUUACUGCCCACAUGGAACCUUUCAAGUAGAGACCUCUGUCCCCUAAGGCUGUCAAAGGAUUUGACACUGCUCCACUUACCAAGAAUUACUACACUGUGGUGUUACAGAACAUCUUGGACACUGAAAAAGAAUAUGCCAAAGAACUUCAGUCUCUUCUUGUUACUUACCUAAGACCUUUGCAGUCUAAUAACAACCUGAGUACUGUGGAGUUUACAUGCUUAUUGGGAAACUUUGAAGAAGUAUGCACAUUUCAACAGACACUCUGCCAAGCCCUGGAAGAAUGCUCAAA